GCCGUCGUGGCGCGCGUCGGUGGCGCGCCAGCGCUGCAGGCGCUUGGCCAGCGCGUAGUUCGGGCCCUGCUGCGGCACCA
rnacentral:tRNA from 1 species